AUUGAACGCUGGCGGCAUGCUUUACACAUGCAAGUCGAACGGCAGCGCGGGCUUCGGCCUGGCGGCGAGUGGCGAACGGGUGAGUAAUGCAUCGGAACGUGCCCAGUAGUGGGGGAUAGCCCGGCGAAAGCCGGAUUAAUACCGCAUACGACCUGAGGGUGAAAGCGGGGGACCGAAAGGCCUCGCGCUAUUGGAGCGGCCGAUGUCGGAUUAGCUAGUUGGUGGGGUAAAGGCUUACCAAGGCGACGAUCCGUAGCUGGUCUGAGAGGACGACCAGCCACACUGGGACUGAGACACGGCCCAGACUCCUACGGGAGGCAGCAGUGGGGAAUUUUGGACAAUGGGGGCAACCCUGAUCCAGCCAUGCCGCGUGCGGGAAGAAGGCCUUCGGGUUGUAAAACGCUUUUGUUCGGGAAGAAAUACUCUGGGCUAAUACCCCGGGGGGAUGACGGUACCGGAAGAAUAAGCACCGGCUAACUACGUG
rnacentral:rRNA from 1 species